CGGUCCUAAGAGAUAGGGAAACUCCGUUUUAAAGCGCCUGCUUGUUCAGGCCGCCUAUCGAAAGGGGAUGUGGUUAAAAUUCCACAACCGGGAUGUAGAUUAUUGAACGGCAACGUAAAUGAACUUCGAGACGCCGGUGCGGGCCCUAGGAAGAGUUAUCUUUUCUCCUUAACAGUUUACCACCCUGGAAUCGGAUUAUCCGGAGAUAGGGUUCAACAACUGGAAGAGCUUUGUACUUUUGCAAAGUCUGGUGCGUUCGCAAUCGGAGUUCUGCGUAAUAUCUAUGCAUUUCACCGCUACACUACGCAUUCCGCCUACCUCAAACACACUCAAGUCUCCCAGUAUCAAUGGCAAUUUUAUGGUUAAGC
rnacentral:rRNA from 1 species